rnacentral:rRNA from 1 species
UGGGGAAUAUUGCGCAAUGGGGGGAACCCUGACGCAGCCAUGCCGCGUGAAUGAAGAAGGCCUUAGGGUUGUAAAGUUCUUUCGGUAUUGAGGAAGGUUGAUGUGUUAAUAGCACAUCAAAUUGACGUUAAAUACAGAAGAAGCACCGGCUAACUCCGUGCCAGCAGCCGCGGUAAUACGGAGGGUGCGAGCGUUAAUCGGAAUAACUGGGCGUAAAGGGCAAGCAGGCGGUUAUUUAAGUGAGGUGUGAAAGCCCCGGGCUUAACCUGGGAAUUGCAUUUCAGACUGGGUAACUAGAGUACUUUAGGGAGGGGUAGAAUUCCACGUGUAGCGGUGAAAUGCGUAGAGAUGUGGAGGAAUACCGAAGGCGAAGCNNGCCCCUUGGGAAUGUACUGACGCUCAUGUGCGAAAGCGUGGGGAGCAAACAGGAUUAGAUACCCUGGUAGUCCACGCUGUAAACGCUGUCGAUUUGGGGGGUUGGGGUUUAACUCUGGCGCCCGUAGCUAACGUGAUAAAUCGACCGCCUGGGGAGUACGGCCGCAAGUUA